UACGGAGGGGGCGAGCGUUAAUCGGAAUUACUGGGCGUAAAGCGUGCGUAGGCGGAUGCUUAAGUCAGAUGUGAAAGCCCUGGGCUUAACCUAGGAAUUGCAUCUGAAACUGGGCGUCUAGAGUAUGGUAGAGGAUGGCGGAAUUUCUGGUGUAGCGGUGAAAUGCGUAGAUAUCAGAAGGAACACCAGUGGCGAAGGCGGCCGUCUGGGCCAAUACUGACGAUGAGGCACGAAAGCAUGGGUAGCGAACAGG
rnacentral:rRNA from 1 species